GUGACCGUGGUGUAACUGGCAACAUACCCAGCUCGUACCUGGGGGUUGCGGGAUCGAAACCCGCCGGUCACCCCA
rnacentral:tRNA from 1 species